rnacentral:tRNA from 1 species
GCCUGGGUGGCUCAGCGGUUGAGCAUCUGUCUUCAGCUCAGGGUGUGACUCCAGGGUCCUGGGAUCAAGUCCCACCUCGGGCU